AACGAACGCUGGCGGCAUGCCUAACACAUGCAAGUCGAACGAGACCUUCGGGUCUAGUGGCGCACGGGUGCGUAACGCGUGGGAACCUGCCCUUAGGUUCGGCAUAACUCCCCGAAAGAGGUGCUAAUACCGGAUCAUGUCUUCGGACCAAAGAUUUAUCGCCUUUGGAUGGGCCCGCGUUGGAUUAGCUAGUUGGUAGGGUAAAAGCCUACCACGGCGACGAUCCAUAGCUGGUCUGAGAGGAUGGUCAGCGACACUGGUACGAGGGAACGGCCCAGAAUCUUACGGGAGGGAGCAGUGGGGAAUAUUGGACAGUGGGCGAAAGCCUGAAGCAGCAAUGCCGCGUGAGUGAUGAAGGCCGUAGGGUUGUAAAGCUCUUUUACCCGGGAUGAUAAUGACGGUACCGGGAGAAUAAGCACCGGCUAACUCCGUG
rnacentral:rRNA from 1 species